UACGGAGGGUGCAAGCGUUGCUCGGAAUUAUUGGGCGUAAAGGGCAGGUAGGUGGUCUUAUUUGUCUUGUGUGAAAUCCUUGGGCUUAACUCAAGAAGUGCGCAAGAAACGGUAAGACUAGAGUGCUAGAGAGGCUUGUGGAAUUCCCGGUGUAGCGGUGAAAUGCGUAGAGAUCGGGAGGAACACCCCGUGGCGAAGGCGGCUCUCUGGGACGGUACUGACGCUGAGACGCGAAAGCGUGGGGAGCGAACAGG
rnacentral:rRNA from 1 species